AGGAAAACAUGAUGCAGCGAAAAAGGGGGUGGUCAAGGCUGAAAAAGAAGGCAAGAAAAAGAAGGAAGAGGAAGAUGAGGAGGAUGAAGAGGAUGAGGAAGAGGAGGAAGACGAAGAUGAUGAUGAAUAAGUUGGUUCUAGCGCAGUUUAUUUUCUUGUCUAUAAAGCAUUUCACCCCCCUGUACACAACUCACUCCUUUUAAAGAAAAAAAUUGAAAUGUAAGGCUGUGUUAAAAAAAAAAAAGGUGUAACGUCCGUAACAAGAAAGUUAGCUUUAAAUUGGUAACUCAGUGUUGGAGUCCAACAUGUGGCAUAAACUAGGCCAGAAAACUAAGCCUCUAAGGAUACUUCUAAAUUGAGAUAAUAUUUAAUGUGAUUCUUAUUCUAGAAAGUAGACUUACAAGAGAUAAGAUCAAAACAAUGUCUCUUUAAUGAAGCAUUAAAAUUUGCACUGUCAUGCAUUCAUAGGUAUAAAUUAGCAGCCAAACUUUGUAACGUGAUAGUGAUGUUUCUAAUAUUUAUUUUAAAGAUAAUAUAAAUUGUUUUAAAAUUAGGUUUUGCUUUCCCAAAGUUGUAGAUAAUAUUCUAAUGUUGCAAAAGAAACUUAAAAAUUAUGGUUAAAAUUGCCAGUGUUCCAUUGACUGCAGCUUGCAGUUUGAUCACAAGCUUAAGACUUUUAACUCACUCAUAUAUUGUUAAUCAAGAUUAUUACAAGAGUAAUCAUCUUAUGAGAGUGCUAAUACAGCUCACUUCAUACAAAACUAAGAUAAGACAGAGUUAUCUAGAUAUGUUUGUCUUUGUACAUAAAUUAGACUCUCAGACAAUCAGUUUGGCUAUGGUAGCUGCCUGGCAGGAGACUACAGUACGAGCAAUUUUUUCACAGCACUAAAGUUAUAAAGAACGUUUUAACUAUAAGUCAUCUUAAGAAAGACUGUCCUGAUAUAGCUGUCUCUUGUGAGACUAUGCCGGGGCCUCGCAAACACAUAAGUGGAUGCUCACAAUCAGCUAUUGGAUGUAUUACAGGGCCCCCAAUGGAGGAGCUAGAGAAAGUACCCAAGGAGCUAAAGGGAUCUGCAACCCUAU
rnacentral:lncRNA from 1 species